rnacentral:rRNA from 1 species
AUGAGAUCACUACUUUUGAAGGUGGCAAUCAGCAAAGUUUAUCCGGGCGUGCACAGGUGGUGCAAAUGGCAUGUGCUGAAGAAAGUGAAGAACACAUUGGGCCCUCUGUACACGAAGAAGAGUGAGUUCCAGGCUGAGUUCCAUGAGGUUUUGAACCACAUGCUAACUGAAGAUGAGUUUGAGACGGCAUGGUCUGCGCUGUUAGAUAAGUACAAUCUGAGAAAGCACCCCUACAUGACCCAAAUAUAUGAAAUCAGAAAAAGGGACAGACCGAGGAUCUGCGGAAGAAGAUUGCUUACGAGAUAG